rnacentral:lncRNA from 1 species
AAAGAUUUGGGGUUUAAAAUUUUAGGCUAGAUUAGAGCUUUAUAGGCGCCAAAUUUAUUCGGUGGACUAUUGGGGAUGGUUAUGAUAUGCUGUAUCAUCAUUUGGAUUAGUGUGUAGAGAGGAUGAGUGAGGGGUGGAUGAGUGAGGGGUGGGGGGGGAGAUGUGUCUGAAUUGGAUCUCUCUCUUUCUGUCUUCUUUUAUGCAUUGAAAAUUCUUGGAAAGAAGGCUGCUUCUCAUUCCAAUCUGUACUACUAGAAUUAUCAUACGAGCAACGCAUGUGCGACUGCAUU